CCCGCAACGAGCGCAACCCUUAUCCUUUGUUGCCAGCGGUUCGGCCGGGAACUCAAAGGAGACUGCCAGUGAUAAACUGGAGGAAGGUGGGGAUGACGUCAAGUCAUCAUGGCCCUUACGAGUAGGGCUACACACGUGCUACAAUGGCGCAUACAAAGAGAAGCGACCUCGCGAGAGCAAGCGGACCUCAUAAAGUGCGUCGUAGUCCGGAUCGGAGUCUGCAACUCGACUCCGUGAAGUCGGAAUCGCUAGUAAUCGUAGAUCAGAAUGCUACGGUGAAUACGUU
rnacentral:rRNA from 1 species